rnacentral:tRNA from 1 species
UGGCCCAUCGCCAAGCGGUAAGGCAACGGACUCUGACUCCGUCAUUUCCAAGGUUCGAAUCCUUGUGGGCCAGCUA